rnacentral:lncRNA from 1 species
GAUUUGGGACACACCAUUGGAUUCCAGUCCAGUCCAAUUCCACCAAUCCAGUCUAGACCAAUCCUGUAGAACUCUAUCCAGUCAGUCCAUUCCAGUCAAAAUGAAUCCAGUCCCCUUCAAACAAAUCCGUCUAGUCCAAGCCAAUGUAAUUUAAUACAGUCCAGUAUAACCCAACCCAGUCUGAUCCAGUCUCACCAGUUAAGUCCAGUUCAGUCCACUCCAGUCCAAUCCAGUCAAAUCUAAUCCAGUUCCAUUUAAAUCUAGUCCAAAGCGUGACAGUUUCCAAAUCCAGUCCAGUCCAGCCCAAUCCCACUAAUCCAGUCUUGACCAAUCCCGUAGAACUCUAUCCAGUCAGUCCAUUCCAGUCAAAAUGAAUCCAGUCCUAUUCAAACCAACCAGUCUAGUCCAAUCCAAUAUAAUCCAAUUCAAUUCAGUCCAAUCCAACCCAGUCAGAUCCAGUCCAGUUAAAGUUUAUUAAAGAAUAAGAAAAGGUGAACUUGAACUCAGCGCUCGUUGUUGUUCUGGUGAAUUUAACUUUUCCGUUGAAGUGAACUGUUUAAAAGGUCAAAGGUUAGCGUCCUCGCGUGUGUUUACCUUUUAAAGCCGCCAUCAUGAUUGUCAGGAAACAUAUCGUUCAUUUCUAAAAAUAAGUAAACAAACGUGUGUGUGUGUGUGUGUGAGGGCUGUUGUGUAUAAACACUCUGCGUUGGUGUCGGGGUCAUUGUGCUCGCUAACAUAAUUGCCCUUCAGGCUCUUAAUGGCGGAGGCAGCUAGUUAAAACCCCUGCUUGUCCAUUCAUAGUGGGCUCUCUCUCUCUCUCUCCUGCUCAUUAAAACGGUGAAUGGGCCACAGAUGUGGAGUCGCCCAUUAGUCCUCUACCUGGAAGGAGCUUUGGGAGAGGCGAAGGUAGGAAGAGAAGUUAAACACCAGGGCGAGGGCUUCGUUUCCCCGCCGAGGCCACCCAGGCUAAAGUGUGUUCAUUCACAGAGCUGUGAGGAGACGUGCUCAGACUCUGGCAGAUGUUACCUGGUAGAAGGAGGAGGAGGAGGAGGAGGAGAGACUUUAAGAUGGGCUUAUGGGUAUUUUACGACGCGCUGCAAUGAUCACAUGGAGGAUCUGUUUGUUCUGUUCCCAACUGUAAGAUCCCUCACACCUGGUUCUGCUCACAGGAUCGAUGCAGAGAGAGCCGACUUAAGGUAUCCUCUGUAACGACUGGAGGAUGAGGAAGUGAUUUCAUCUGCUGAGAGGUUCUCCACUGUCUGUCCACAGGUCUGUGGACGUUCCCAAACCUUCAGGGUUUGAUCUUUUUCGUGGUCUGAAUUUCCACCCGUCAUACGACAAAAGGGGGAUUUUAACGUUACCCAAUUCAGUCGUAGUUUCCCGCUUUGAUGCUGCAGUUUGUGCUUUUUCCUUUUCUUUGUUCAUGACGAGCUCAAACAUAAAGAGUGGAAGACCGGUCAGAAACAGACCGUCCUCGGCACAAAGAGUUAAUCCAGAGACAAGUCUGUUUUCAAACUUCACGCGAUGAUACGCCCACCUGUCAGUCAACCCAACUACAUGUCUGUUUCUGCAUGUGCAACUCUUCACCUCAGGACUCGACAGUUCGACCGUUUCACUCACAUUUGCUACUAAAAAUAGAUGUGUAAAAUAUAUUUAGGGUCACAUGUGCGCAUAAAAAAAAAUCAGCCGAGGUAACAAAUGUGUUUUUUCUCGUAAAUACUGCAGUGAAGUUAGUUUUAGACUGAAUAUAUUCUCCUGUAAAUACGGCGGUGAAGUUAGUUUUAGGUUGGAUAUAUUUUCCUAUAAAUACGGCGGUGAAGUUAGUUUCAGGUUGGAUAUAUUUUCCUGUAAAUACGGCGGUGAAGUUAGUUUUAGGUUGGAUAUAUUUUCCUGUAAAUACGGCGGUGAAGUUAGUUUCAGGUUGGAUAUAUUUUCCUGUAAAUACGGCGGUGAAGUUAGUUUCAGGUUGGAUAUAUUUUCCUGUAAAUACGGCGGUGAAUUUAGUUUUAGGUUGGAUAUAUUGUCCUAUAAAUACGGCGGUGAAGUUAGUUUUAGGUUGGAUAUAUUUUCCUGUAAAUACAGCGGUGAAGUUAGUUUCAGGUUGGAUAUACUUUCCUGUAAAUACGGCGGUGAAUUUAGUUUUAGGUUGGAUAUAUUUUCCUGUAAAUACGGCGGUGAAUUUAGUUUUAGGUUGGAUAUAUUUUCCUGUAAAUACGGCGGUGAAGUUAGUUUUAGGUUGGAUAUAUUUUCCUGUAAAUACGGCGGUGAAGUUAGUUUCAGGUUGGAUAUCUGACGGACAUUCUCUGAGGAUCUACCGGUGUCUUCUCACUGUCCAUAACCAGGAAUAACAACAGCAGCGCGGUUAAAUCUACUCGACACCCUCACUGUCAACGUUGGUGUUGAAUAAGGGACCGUCAAUAAAUUACCUGUUGAUGUUCUCAGAAAAGGCUGUUUUCCUUCAAUGGCUUCACUGUCAUGUGACCAAAAGACCUAAAACUGAUUUCAAAUAAUAGUACUAAGGUCGGACAAUAAGACAAACAUUAUUUAUCAAUUUUCAUCGUGCCGCUAAAGUUCUUUGUGCUCCUUCUGAAAAAAGUUAGUGUCAAGCCCUCAUCUGAAGAAAUUAAAACUUUUAAAGUGUUGAAGGUUUUUAUUAAUUCUUCAAAACUCAGUUCAGAGAAGCUCAAACUUUAAACCUCAAAUUUAGUCCAAACUGACUCUAGCAUGCAAACCAAAGGACCUUUUAUUGGUAGAAUGGAUAAAAAAAAAAACUCUUAAAUAAAGUAAAAAUGUUUUUUUUUUUUUGGAUGAGUAAAAACUCUUGCAGUAUCUAUUUUUUGACCCUAAGUGUCGUUUCCCGGUGUGUGAGCUCAGCCGCAGAGUGUCUCAGCUGUGUUGAAACUCCCUCCUAUCUUCACAGAGCCUAAAAUAGCCUCUCCGCUCUCGUCCCGGCUACAUCAGCCCUCAUGAUAGUGUCAGAUCAGCCCCUGGAAUGCAGCGACAAGCUCUCACACUCAGAUUGGAUGCUUAUCAAGGCAGCAUGAGCUCUGAUUGGAUGCUUAUCAUAACCAUAUCCUGUUGUCAGCUGAUGGAAUGACCUUUACGCUAUCAGCUCGGGAUGCCAUGGCGGGGCGAGGCUGGACUUUCCCUCUUUCAAUUUUCACACCUUUUCCAGACCUGCGAGCCAAAACGUAUUCUUAGCUGUACAGUUGUAACAAACUACCAGCCUUUAGGGCGACUUUAAAGCGACCUGGAGCCGUUAACAGGAUUAAACAGUCAGCUGCAGUGACGUCUCCACUGCUAUAACUGGGUUUGUGCCAAAAGUCUAAAAUAUGUGCGUUGCAUCAGCACAUUCAGGGAAAUUUUUAGUUUCUGAAAAGUUGGUUUGGAGAAAAUCCAAGACAAGUACAGUGUGCCGAACUGACUAAGAGUGGGAAACACCAUGAAAAGGAAAAAGACAGUUCACUGCACUGGAGAGGGUUCAGGGGCACCGAGGAUGAAAUUUAAAAAAGCACCUGAAGUAUGCCAUCAAAGAUUUUAGGAUAUACUAUAUAAUGAUCGAUGAUGACGAUGAUACACUUUGUCCACAUUUUGAAAAAGAAAGUAAACCACUUCAUUUACUUUUUAUCAACAGGAAGAGCAACCAGUCUAUCAUAUGUAUGAGGAAGGAAAUUCAAGUUUGGUACUUUGUCUACAUUUUAUCAACUGGAAACACAACAGGAUGACAUGAAGUCAAUACACUAAAAAGAAACAAAAAAGACCAAUUGUUUUACAUUUAUAUAAACUGGAAGGACAUUCAGAGGGUACUUAUACUUAAUACUCAGAGGGUACUUUGUUUACACUGUCUUUCUUUACACUUAAUCCACUGUAAGGACAUUCAGAGGGUACUUUGUUUACAUUUAAUCCUCUCAGAAUACUUUGUUUACACUUCAUUUACUGUAAGGAUUCUCUGAGAAUACUUUUUUUUACACUAAAUACUCAGAGAAUACUUGGUCAAAUCUUGAUAUACUGUAAUGAUACUUAGAGAAUACUUUGUUUACACUAAAUCCACUGUAAGGACAUUCAGAUGGUACUUUGUUUACAGUUAGUACUCAGAGGGCACUUUUUUUACACUUAAAGCUCACAAAAUACUUUGUACUUAAUACACUGUGAGGACAUUCAGAGGGUACUUUUUUACACUUUUCCAUUUAAAGAGCAAUCAGAGGGAACUUUGUUUACAAAGUUUUUUUUCUUUGUUUUCAUUUUAUUCACCUGAAGAGAAUCUGCUGUGGUGGUUUACAGUUGAUUUACACGGCACUUGUUUUUCAUGAUGUCUGAUGGACUUCAGAGGCGUUUAAAAAAGACUCGUAUGUGUUUGUUUUUCAGAUAUGAGAGCACUGAGGUUGGUGAUGAAGAGUCAGACUCUCAGAGUCACGUCUUCACUUGACAUGUUUGUUUCACACUUUCUAUAAUUACAGAUAUCUUUGUGGAUUCAUGGUAAUCAUACUCACAAAGUUUUCCAACAAUCAUUUAUUUUCUAAAACUUGCAAAGGAACGACUUCUCCUCUUCUGAUAAAACUUUAACAUCCAGGCCAACAGAUCUUUAACCACGAGCAUGUGAAGGUUCGACUCAGAGAAACAUCUAUAAGGUGAAUGUUUUAACUCCAUAAAGUCCGUUACGAUGCCUUUGGUUUCUCCUUAAAAAUACUUGACAGAUAAUGAUUCCUACUUUAAAUUACAUCUCUGACAGAGACCGCUGGUGAAUUUCAGGGUGUAAUUCUGCUGCUGGGACAUAAAUCUGAGCGUGAGUGCUUUGUGGCUGCCCAGGUCAGUCCUCCUGUGGGAAAAGAGAGAUGAGAGGCUCAGGGUCAAUCUGGGCUAAGCCCUGCUGGUGCCAGUGGACCCCCCGGUUCCCCCGACAGACCCUGGGCCAGCGCUGACAUCAGACCAGGUCAAAUACUGUCUAAGAAACGGACCUGGUUAAAAAAAAGAGGUAAUGGCAUCAGGUUAGCUGUCAGAGUGAAAACUCUGAUCGAAUUAUCGAGUCAUGAGUGUUUCUGUUUUCAUCCACGUACAUGAGAGCUGCUUCAAUAUUUCAGAUACACAAUAACCUUCAUUUCUGAAAGAGAGAGUAAUAUUUGUAUUAGGACUGAAAAGUAUAUACGUCAUCAGUAACAUAAAAGUUACAGUAAAAUGGUUAAGAGUAAAAUGUCAAAAUAAAAGCGUUUAUCUGCAAAACAGUCAUUUUAAACGGGUUCAUAAGCAGCCUGAAUAUUAAGCAUAAAAAAGUCAAAUUAAAAGUAUAUUUUCACAAUAAAAUAAUUGUUUUAUCUAAAUUUUGAACAGAAUUUUUUCAAAAUAAAAGCAUUUAUAGCACAGUUGGUCAAUAAUUAGAUAAAGCAAACAACAAACUUAAUGAUUAAAUGGAAAAAACAAAAAGUAUUAAUAAGUAUUAAUAGUAGAAAAACGGAAAAAGAUUAAACAUGUUAAUCAUCAAAAUGUCACAUUAAAAGCUUUUUAAAAUAUUUAUUAUUUGUAUGUUUACUUAAUAAGUAAAAUUUACCAUCUGUGAUGUUUUUUCCCCCCAAUAUUCUCUGUUUAUAUCAUAAAAAUAUGGUAAAUGGGAUUUUUUUGAGCCACAAUAGUCAUGAGGUGAAAAUCUGACAUCCUGAUGUCUCUCAGUGACUCUUGUUCUUUUUAUCCUGAGGUUUUUUUGCAGAAAUGUAAGAAGUUUGUUAGUGUUAGAGAUAUUGUUCAUUAUUGUGCAGAUUAUUAAAAGACAUAGUUUGGAUCUUCGUCUUCAUUUUCCUCAUUUUGACUCUGUCUUGGACAGAUCUGAGAUCAUAUAAACCUCUUAGAUGAACCAAAACAAAACCCGAUCCUGCAGCAGAGUGGACCUAACGGAGCUCAGUCUAGUAAAACUGAGUGCAGGGUUUUGGCUCGAUCCCGCCGCUCUCUCGCUCUCGGCACCAUUUUCCCAUUCUCCGGCUUUUCCAUGUCGACUUCGCUCUGCGGCCUCGCUCCUGAGGAAAAACAGACGCCCCUUCUGCCUCCGCGCUCCCCCUCCUCCCCCACUGACGGCUUUCUUCUCUUCCCCCCCGUUGCCCCUUGGGCUUUUUUUUAUGGCAGGGCUUCUAACACAUGACCUCUGCCAUGCAUUAGACUGCAUGUACACGUCCGUACACCACAAAAUAAAACAGGAACAGUGUGUGAUAAAGGAUGAGAACGGGCUUUCGAAUGUGCGUCUUUGUUGCUGAGAUCUCUCUGUGAGGCGAGUCCAGCUCCUCGAACCCCGGUCUCUGGUCCGCCAGUUUCCAGCAGCGAUAAAAGCAUUUUGAUUUAUCCCCUGCGAAACACAUUUGUACGGUAAUCCAAUCAAACAGCAGCCUCAAAGGGAGAGCAAGAAAUCUUCUCGACCUCGUGGACGUUUUCAUUUGGUUCCUUUUUCGCCAGCGCUACCUCAUCUGGACGACCUCUCCUGCGAGUCGUCCCGCCGGCCGCUGCCUUAUGCGGGGUGACAAGCUGUAAUUUGGUGUACACAUUUUAGCUCAUUUGCAUGAGAAGCACUUAUGCAGCCCGCCACCAAGUUGAACGAAUUACCGCGGCGGUUAUUCUCAGUCUAAAUAACGGAGGCUAAAUAAUGAGGGAUGCUGGGAAGUGAGGGAGUCGCUCAUUACAACAGAGCGGCUUUUUGUUAACUGCGGGCCUCCGCCGUCACUGCGACCAUGACUAACACGUGAGGGGCGUUCGGUUUUUUACGAUUAAGUUACACAUAUAUACGUUCAGGAUAUAUGGACGUAUGUUGUUUCGUAUCCUUCUGCACAAACCAGCGUUAUUCUUUUUUACUCCAUGGCGACUGAGUCAUGGAGUCUGCUUGGGUGGCGGUCUGGGUGAUGGAUGCAUCAAACAACCCGAGACUUAAAUCAAGGAGACCAGGUCUGAGUCUCGUUGGAGACCCGACGUCAAAUUUGACCAUUUUAAUUGAAGUCAUGUAUGGACCAGGACUUCACUUCCCUGUGUUCUAACCACGACCCCGACCGACCUAACCAGAUACUCUGUUGGCGCUGAGGCGUCUUGGUUUGGUUCGUACAAUGCACCGAUGUUAACUUUUAGGUUCACACGGGACACAAACGCUGGUUUCUCGGUAUAAGAGAGGGGGCCGUCAGGCUGAAAGCACGACGAUCACGCCAUCCCCACGCAAUGUGGUGAUCUGACCGAAAGGAAAAGGUUUGGUGACGGGGCAUUUCCAGCGCCGAGCGACCGAAUCGCCCAAAAACGCUUGUGAAUAAAAAGCCACACUCCACAGGGUUUAUUUUCUUAAAACUACACGGAAAUUUUCUCCUGCUGCUGAAUUUUGUCAUAAUGAGAGACAAUGAGGCACAAAAGUGACGCCUGCCAGGUAUCCCAGAAUGCUUUGAGCAGGGAGGAGAUGGUUGCAUGCCCUCGGUCUGCAUCACGAAGCAGGCGAGAUAUACUUGGAGAUUAGUUUGAUAUUUAUCCUGAUGGACCUGGAAAAACAGGAAACGCACGGCCAAGAUCUGUCUGUCAGGGCUGAAAAUAAUGUCUGUUUUAGUCAUUGACGAGUCAGCAAUUAUCAAAAUGGUUAUUUUACGUAUUUGAUACUGAUGGCAAACCUACUGUUGGGAAUUUAUCGUAACAAUAACCCCCAAUUUCCACCACAUCCUGAUCGUCUCCUAAAAGGUCGUAUCCUCCGAUCGUAGCUGAUCGUAACCAUUCAAGUUAACGUGUCAAUUUACACCGACUUCUUUCUGUUCCUCUGCGGAUCGCCGGACUCCUCAGCUGAUCACAAGAGUUCUAGUUUUUCUGGACGCCGGAGCAUGGCGGAUAAAUUCAGCACAGAUUAACCCGUGCUGGAAAGGAAGUCGGGCACAGACACAAAAUAAAACAUCCGGCUUCUUUUCAAAAUAAAACACUUAUGGAUGAGGAGAUGCUGAUUCUAGAAGUCUAGAAGUAGAUUUCCUCCUCUGGAAGGACACAAUCUACUGCUUAUAAGGUUAGCCUCUGUGGCUAAAGACAACUUGUUAUCACGCGGUUGCAUGUGAAUCCGCGGGUUCAUGUGAGUUUUAGCGAUUCCUGCUGUCCGCAAUCCGCCUCGAAAUUCACCUCACAAACUGAUCUGGUAGGAAUUGGUGGAUGGCCGUUCUGGAUUGGAGCUGUUCCAGAUGCAGUGAAAAUUAGGCGUAGGACACUGUUUAGUGAGCCUUGGCGUGAUUUUGACGUGUGACGGAGAAACUGGAGGAACAGAAUUUUGCUGAAUUUGCACAAAACUUUUAAAAUAUUGAAUUUUUUAUGAUACCUGAUACACGUGUGAAGUUUGGUGAGUUAUGGAGCGUGAUGACGGCAGAAAGAAUAAUACGUCUCGUAGUUUUUAAUCAUAUAAUCAGUUUGAUUUCAACACAUAUUUAAAAGCCCAUAUUCAGUCCGACACUUGCAUUGUUUGCAGACGACCUCCUGGUUUAUUUAACAAAUUUAUUCCACCUAAAUCUUGUCGAGCGUUUCUUAACAAACUUGAAUAAGCUUGACCUCCACUCUCUGUUUUCCACGGCGUGUUUGUGAAGACCAGAAGUCCAGGAACAUCAGCCCUCA